rnacentral:lncRNA from 1 species
UAUANAAGUCGAAAAAAAUCAGCUUCUAGAAAACUUACUGAUGAGCCUCGAAAAGGAAAUGAGAGAAAGAAAAGAUAAAUCUUGUGUGGUUAUAAGGUCCAGUUAGUGAGAAGCUCCGACAACAUUGCUCCAAGAAGACUGAAUAAAGCACCAGAGGUACCUACAGAGAUGCUGUUUCGAAUGAAGAGAGUUCUCAGCGAACAACGGAGAAAGAUGAGAAACAACAUAACGAAUCAGCCUAUGGAAAUGGGAAUAAAACAUUCAUAUAUAUAUAGAAGCAAGGUAUGGAAAACCGAAUAGCGAAAAUAAAUAUAUUUUGCUCAGACUCCCCCGACCAUUGAACAUUAUUAGAUUGGUGCCGAAACCUGCCCACUCAAUACUGGAGACUGAGCUAGAACCGACAUGUAUACUGAAAGCAUUCUUAGCACAAAUAAAAGCAACUGGUUACCUACAAAAAAGGCCGUCCAAAGUGCCCCUACCACCAGUGAAGAAGUAGGCCAUCCAAAGUGCCCCUAUCACCAGUGAAGAAGUAGGCCAUCCAAAGUGCCCCUAUCACCAACCAAGAAGGCUCGGCCCAUUCUCAAUUAUCGCAAAUAUCUCACAUUCAAGGGGAAGGUCAUCAUAGCAUGGGACAAAAGAAGUGAAGAGAAACUCAGGGAAAAUAGGAGGACUGGACUAAAAGCAAGGAAAGCAAAGUACCCCAAAAGCAACAAAACAUUAUCACAAACCACGCAGAUUUGAAUUCAACAUAUGCUGGAGCAAAUCAAAACAUGUCGCAUUCAGAAUUCAACAUAUUGAAUUCUGAAUCACCUAGUCGAAAUCUGAAUUCAAUAUGCUGAAUUUAACAUAUUGCCUAGCUGAAUUGAGCUGAAUUCAGAAUUCUCGAUUGAAUUUCGAAUUGUGUUGAAGAAUUCUGUAUCCCACCCAAUUGCCAAGCUUAUAUCGGAGACCAUCAACUGAACAAUCUCAACAGUCAGAUGUUCUAUUGUGCACGAUAGUAACCUGAAGCAUAAAAGAUAGAACUUAAAGUCAUUUAAUUUGACUUUUUUCGAAUGAAGGCUAGGAGCAUACUGAGAUUCAAUCAUUUCACGUAGUAAAUUUCACCAAUAGGCUCCUAGAAUUCAGAUUUCUGAAUUCUGAGAGGUUAGAAUUCUAAAUAAAAGUUUAAAAUUCAGGAAAAGAACCCUGAAUUUUUUUUUGGAAUGAAGGCUAGGAGCAUACCGAGAUUCAAUCGUUUCAUAUACUAAAUUUCACCAAUAGGCUUCUAGAAUUCAGAUUUCUGAAUUCUGAGAGGUUAGAAUUCUAAAUAAAAGGUUAGAAUUUAGGAAAAGAAUCCUGAAAUAUGCACCAACGAACGACAACAAAUCGAGAACUGGAGCAUAAAAUUGAUGCUUGCAAGAAACAUGAGGAACUCCAUAAUAAAUCAGCAACCAGAUAGGUUUUUGAGAAAUCAAUGACCAAAAAAAAGCUUUUUGGGGAAAUGCCAACAGCCUCAAAAAGAUGAAACUAAUGUCCGCAAAGAAGAGAAGAGUGGGGGCAGGGUAAAAAAAAGAAGAGGACUGUGAAAACACAUUAAAUCAAUCAAAAUAAGCUCUGAGUGAACAACGAAAUCCGAAAAAACUGAAGUAUAAAUCGAUGUUUGCAAGGAAAAUGCGAAAUCCAUAAUAAAUUAGCCUAUGGAAAUGGGAAUAAAGCAUUCACAUCUGUAUAUAUAUAUAUAUAUAUAUAUAUAUAUAUAUAUGCCGAAGCAAGGUAAACAAAACCGGAUCGCAAAAAUAAGUAAUCUAUAGAAACAAAGAAAUAAAUAGCACACAAAAAAAUUACAUAAAGUUCCUUCUGCAUGACUUCCAAAGAGACUCGGAUAGAUGGCCGUUUAACAUACAGCCUGUAUUUUCUUCAGGAAUCAGCGUGAGAAGUAUGCCCCAAAAAUUUUGGUGAUGGAAAAAGAAGGGAGGGGGAUCAGUUUAAGAAAAGUAUAGACAACUAAUAGUAAAGUAAAGAGGAUGAAU